CCUUCUACAGUUUGUUGUUAUCUUGCAAUCUAGCAUGAAAUCAGCACUCAAGGAAGACCUUUACUGGUGUGCUGCAACCCUUUACUUUUUCAACAAACAGUUUGCUAUCUUGAUGAGGACCCAAAGACUUUGAAGGUGUUUCCCAUUCCACUUCAUGAUGCCAGUGGCUCAACUCUGCAUUAUGACCGGCUUAGCAUUUCACCUGAUGGAAAGAUAUUGGCAGCAACCCAUGGUUCCACAUUUUGUCAUGUGCUGAAACUGGAAAGGUUUUGGAUACAGCUGAAAAAUCACAUUAAGGUUUUGGAUACAAUGUAUAAAGAUUUGUUUCAGAUAUUUUGAUAUGUAACCAUGUGCUAAUAUUUGUUAUAUGUUCUAUACUUUAAUUCACAGAAACUGUUCAAUUAAGUUUUGAUUUAUUUCACUAUAGGCAUUGUCUGCCUGUAAUAUGUUAGUUAAAAACUGAAAUAGGAAGCAAUUUCUUUACAGUA